rnacentral:sRNA from 1 species
CACCUGAAAGCUCUAGAAAACUAACCUUACUACGCC